ensembl:lncRNA
GGAAACAAGAAGUAUGCUGGCUCACUGUGCUGCAUACAGUUACACACUACGUCGUACGAUUGAGACGAGGAAACUUGGAAUGACUUUUCAUAGGUUUCCCAGAGACUAUGGGUUGAGGAGGAAUUGGAAGUUUGUCGGCUUAGACCUGGUGUCAUUCCAUCAGUGUUAAACUUCCCGGCUCAUCUUGGAAGAGUACGUGCCAGAAAGACCACGACCAAGCAGCCUUGAGAUCUUAGGCAGCGUCUCCCUGAGGUCCCGCUCUAUCUCCCCACACAUCCACCAACCACUGGAACACAUCUCCAAAGUUCUGCCUGGACCAGCUCAGCUUCCCCUCAGAAGAAGUGCUGCCACCUGCCAGAUGAAGGAGCCUUUUGAGAGGCAGCUGGCAUCAUGAUUGGACUGUACUUUGGUCUGUUCCAAUCCAGCUUCAGCUCCAGAGACGGCAGGCGGGACGAGUCAACGGAGGCCUGGUGGACGAAGACCAAAGAACUACAGACUCUUCACAACCUGCUCAAACUCUUGGUACAGGACCUCACCACACGGGUCAAGAAGGUUUCUGUCUCAUUUCUACUCUGAAGCUCACCUUCUCCUGCUCAAACUGCUGAUAAAUGUUUC